AGAGUUUGAUCCUGGCUCAGAUUGAACGCUGGCGGCAGGCCUAACACAUGCAAGUCGAGCGGAUGAAGGGAGCUUGCUCCUGGAUUCAGCGGCGGACGGGUGAGUAAUGCCUAGGAAUCUGCCUGGUAGUGGGGGAUAACGUCCGGAAACGGGCGCUAAUACCGCAUACGUCCUGAGGGAGAAAGUGGGGGAUCUUCGGACCUCACGCUAUCAGAUGAGCCUAGGUCGGAUUAGCUAGUUGGUGGGGUAAAGGCCUACCAAGGCGACGAUCCGUAACUGGUCUGAGAGGAUGAUCAGUCACACUGGAACUGAGACACGGUCCAGACUCCUACGGGAGGCAGCAGUGGGGAAUAUUGGACAAUGGGCGAAAGCCUGAUCCAGCCAUGCCGCGUGUGUGAAGAAGGUCUUCGGAUUGUAAAGCACUUUAAGUUGGGAGGAAGGGCAGUAAGUUAAUACCUUGCUGUUUUGACGUUACCAACAGAAUAAGCACGGCUAACUUCGUGCCAGCAGCCGCGGUAAUACGAAGGGUGCAAGCGUAUCGAUUACUGGGCGUAAAGCCGCGCGUAGGUGGUUCAGCAAGUUUGGAUGUGAAUCCCCGGGCUCACCUGGGAACUGCAUCCAAAACUACUGAGCUAGAGUACGGUAGAGGGUGGUGGAAUUUCCUGUGUAGCGGUGAAAUGCGUAGAUAUAGGAAGGAACACCAGUGGCAAAGGCGACCACCUGGACUGAUACUGACACUGAGGUGCGAAAGCGUGGGGAGGA
rnacentral:rRNA from 1 species